rnacentral:lncRNA from 1 species
AGCUUCCCCAGGAUAGCCAUAAAAGUAGGUAUUGAGGGUAAAGAGAAAACAUAAGCAAUGAAGAGUUGGUUAUACAUUAUAGAUCAUAAGGGAUGGAAACACAAGAGUGCAUUUUAAAUGAUUAAUGUACGAAAACUGUCACCGCUUACUGUGCAUUAAUCAAGAAAAAAAAUGCACUUUCCCACAGAGGUUAAUGUCCCAGGCCCAUUGUUCAGCUUUGAUAACGUGCACAAUAGAUGCUCACCAUGACAAUGGAUUGGGGUAGCUGGAAACUCAGGAUGGGUGUAAGUCCCGUGUAGUAUUUGGAUUAGCAUCAUAAUCUGUGCCUUGUCACACUCAUGAGGAAACAAGCUACACACAUAUAUAUAUAUGAAUAUUUUUUCAAGCGUUUUCAUUUUCAAAAGUAAAGAAUAAUGACCAAGGUACCUGCUGAAACAAAUACUACCAGCAUUCGCUCGUUAGGAUGGUUACAUGUAAAACAAAUGAUGCCAGAUAGUAACAAAUCCAAGAGAAGUUUAUUAUGAAAAUGGCACCUGCGGAUGAAAAAAUUAAGUUACAUAAAGACAACCAUGUAUGUGACAUGUAUGAGAAUCUACAAAAGUAUAAAAAGAACCCUGUUGUAAAUGAAGUAUGUACAUUUCUGAUUUGCAGCAUUAUCAAUGGUCAAUGAAAAAAAUGUUUCAAAAUAAGCCAGGCACUCAGGAAGUUAAGUCCGGUUAGCUUCACACAAAACAAAUGUAGCAUAGCUGUCGCUUUGUAACGCUUUAAUUAUUUGUAUAUAUAUAUUGUAGAGUUGGUAACACUGCUAAGGUUUUUACGAACAGAAAGAUCCCUUUCCCCAUUAUUCAGCUACGUGGCACCAGUCUCCUCAUAAAAGUUUUCAUAUAUUUGUACAAGAAAUAGUUAAAAACACAGACACAGUCUUCACAGGUAAUGAAGUGGUUUUUUUUUUUCAUUUUGUAAUUUUUAAACACUAUGGAUUUAGACAGCAGCUGUGAUUAUCUGUUAGUUUAAAUCACCAGAAAUCAUUUUGACACAACACAGAAACAUUUAUAAAAG